GAUGAACGCUGGCGGCGUGCCUAAUACAUGCAAGUCGAGCGAACGGACGAGAAGCUUGCUUCUCUGAUGUUAGCGGCGGACGGGUGAGUAACACGUGGAUAACCUACCUAUAAGACUGGGAUAACUUCGGGAAACCGGAGCUAAUACCGGAUAAUAUUUUGAACCGCAUGGUUCAAAAGUGAAAGACGGUCUUGCUGUCACUUAUAGAUGGAUCCGCGCUGCAUUAGCUAGUUGGUAAGGUAACGGCUUACCAAGGCAACGAAGCAUAGCCGACCUGAGAGGGUGAUCGGCCACACUGGAACUGAGACACGGUCCCGACUCCUACGGGAGGCAGCAGUAGGGAAUCUUCCGCAAUGGGCGAAAGCCUGACGGAGCAACGCCGCGUGAGUGAUGAAGGUCUUCGGAUCGUAAAACUCUGUUAUUAGGGAAGAACAUAUGUGUAAGUAACUGUGCACAUCUUGACGGUACCUAAUCAGAAAGCCACGGCUAACUACGUG
rnacentral:rRNA from 1 species